UACGUAUACACAUAUUGACUUCCUUCCUUUGUUCUGAGACCUUGAAAUUUUUACUCUUUCUAAAUUGUCGUGUCUAAUGUAGAUUACCUCUAUCUGUAUACUUUUUGCACCAUUUUUCUCUUUCUUUAACCCUGCAAAGCUUCAUUCGUUAUAUACCGAUAUACUUACUCCAGAACAAUGUUUUUUUCAUAUACUCUUUAGCACAUCCCCAUUCUUUUAAUAAUUUUUGGUCCGAUUGUCCCCUUAUGAAUGCUGUGAGUCUUGUCAGAUGUAUAUAUUCACAAAAUUUAAUUUGCCAUUCUUUCAUUGAUGGAAUUUUUCUCCCUUUCCAAUUUUUUGCUAUGAGCAUCCUGGCAGCUGUUGUUGCAUAGAGGAAUACUUUCCUUUGAUUGUCAGGAAUAUCUUUUGUGAUUAUACCUAAAAGGAAUGCCUCCGGUUUUUUACUAAAAGACUUAGCCUUUUUAAGCCUCUGCCCUUCCCACCUCUCCAAAGCUCCACCCCCUUGUGGAUAAGCGCAGAUUCUUAAAGGAAGUGCUUUUUAUGGGGGUACACAGGGGUACGCAUACCCCUAAACAUUUUGUGAAUCUAAUGGGAGAAUAAACUUUUUUAAAAAAAGUUUAUUCUCUAGCAUGGUGAAUCAUCAGUUCUGUUACUACCCUUGAUGGCAGCUUCAUUUCCUGUCACGGUGUUUCCUGAGUCUAAGACAGAAGCAAGCGUUUAAUGUGUGAAGUAGGAGUUGGAACAGGCACAGGCAAACUCUGGCCCUCUAGAUGUUUUGAGACUACAAUUCCCAUCAUCCCUGACCACUGGUCCUGUUAGCUAGGGAUGAUGGGAAUUGUCGUUCCAAAAACAUCUGGAGGGCUGGAGCUUGCCUAUGCCUGAGUUGGAAUCUAGCACGGUGAUUGGUCAGUUUCGUUGUUUUUACUGUAUUUAUUUCUCCCCGAUUUGAGCUAUAAAACGGUGAUUUUCUUCAGUGAAAAUGAGAGUACCCCUAAACAUUUUUUAAGGAAAAAAAGCACUGCUUCAAGGACCCAAAUUUCCCUGUUUCAUAGCCUUUGGUGCUGUAGGAAGGCAUCUGUGAGGAUCUUGGCUCUGAUGGUACAAGAGCUUCUUCUGGGGAAUCCUGUCUGCUGGCUUUGGGCUCAGCUGAACUCCUGAUCUCUAGUGGCAGGCCAAAAGCCCUGAACCUAGUCUGGUUCCUGUCAUGAGUCGGCUUCACCUGCUGAGCAGCAGCCUGAAGGAGCAGAGAGUGAAGUGACUCCACCUGCUGCUGAUCAGCCUUCUUGCUCCUGAUGAGAACCAGCGGGCUCCAGCUUUCUUAAGCAGGGUUUCCAGCCUCAGUCAGUUGCUGGAAACAACAUUCAUCGUUCCUGACCAGACCUUGCUGCUUCUUGCGACCUUGGACCCUCAGCUUUCUUGACCUACAGAUUGUCUGACUACAUGAACUGAGAUACUCUAGACCUUAGGACAGGCCUGGACAGGACCUUGUAUGUGGAUUCUGCCUCCAGGCAAGUACCCCACGAGAUUUGGCUGGAUGGGUGGUUUCUCCUUCCACUUAGCUCUGCCAUGACCGGCAGCACAAGACUGUGACAGUUCCUUGCCCAGCUCCUUUCUUGGAGACUCUUCAGCUUCCUACUACGAGUCCGUCAAGAAUAAUGGUCAAGUAUCUUGAAAUAGGGAUAUUUUUUUAUAUUGAAUUUCUGUGUGUUUUUAUCAUGGGUUUCCCCCCCUUGGGCAGUAACUCUCCCGUGGGAUUGGCUGACUGUGAGUCACAUGAGAGCGGCAUUCCAUUCUGUUGUGAUUGUUAUUCCAGUAACUGUCGUUUUUUAACUGUUUUCUGUUCUCCUUUGUUGUGUGUGAGGGAGAAUGGCUACUGGGAGAGGUUUCUGUGAAUGCUGCUGAGGACAAGGUGUCAGUGUGGUCUGUCUGGGUUGAAGCAGAUGGAGGAAGAUCCCUCAAUGUUAAUAGGGAUAAACCUGUGCUCUCUAAGGAGCAAUGGGAAUAAGUAUGAGAUUGUAGAUAGAUUCUUCUCAGUUAUGUUUAUGAAAGUCAAGCUCUUUUGAAUAUAAAGUAUCUGGACAUUGCAUAUCAGUACACACACAGACAAUCUAGGUCGCUGUUAGACCUCAGAGUAAGAAGAGGUAUCAUGUCCCAGGUCUGACCAACAAGAACCCUACUGGAUCACAGCAGUCCUAGUCUAACAGGCUAUUCAGCCUGUUCUGAUUCUUCCAGGAACUCCACAAGCGGGGCAUGAAGAAAACAUCUAUCUACUGUGCUUCCUUCCAAACACUCAGCAUUCAGAGGCAUAGCUGCUCAGAACCUGGAGGGUCCAUUAAACGGACCUGUUCUCCAUGAAUUUGUCUAGCCCUCAUUGGAGUGUUGCUCAGCUUGAAUACAUUAGUUGUUCUCAGUCGACCGGAUAGGAAGCACCGUGCUUAAGCAACAUACGAAUCUUGCAUUUCUCAAUCUCCUUGCUGUAUUCUGGCAGUAAAAGGAACCAAGAUUGCUAAUAGAAAGCUAUCAUCCUUAACAGGUGUCAAGUUUUUAAGUGCUGCGCUGGUCUCCCUUGCAUCCAGCUACCUGUUCUGCUUGUAGAUUAAUACAAUCCCUCCUUUUAAGCAACAGCACAUUCCAUUAUUCUUCUCCACGCUGCAGUACGUCUAUUACCCGCCAUGGGAAUGCCGCGAUGUUGUGGCAAUACCGUUCCACUGUUGUCUUUUUGCAGGUGCUUCAUGUCUGGAGCACUACAAAGCAUGCAGAUGAUGAGGCUUAAUUUAGAAUGACUGGAGGAUUUAAACCGAAAGGCUUACAAACAUUUCCUUCAUGCUCCUCUGCAGCUUCUUGUCUCCAUGGAGCACAGUGUGCCUCUGUGUGUGUGCAAAUGAAGAAAAAUGCAGGUUACAGAAGAGGCACUGCUUCCCUAGUAAGAAAAUGACGAUUGCCAAGGCUUGAGCUUGUGUGCGUGGCAAGGAGGCACUGCUUUCUAAUACUGUGCAAGGGAGACACUUUGCACAUGUUCAGAGACACUAAGGCAGGUGCCAAGACUGUCUCAGCAAUUGCAUUAUUGGGGAAGUUUGUUUCCCAUAAGCAUCCCCGGAAACAGGCUCGGGUAAUGCGUUUUCCCUCUCUUUGACUCUCAGGAUGGGCAGAAUGGCUUUCUCUUCCCACUGGGCAACCACGACCACCCAAGAAAAUAUUGAGAUUACAGGGGUGAAGCUGGGCUUUGAACCAACCUGAGGCCAGCAUGCCUCUUCUGAAUUUCUGAAAUCAUAUGCUAUAAUAAGGGGACGCGGGUGGCGCUGUGGGUUAAACCACAGAGCCUAGGACUUGCCGAUCAGAAGGUCGGUGGUUCGAAUCCCCGCGACAGGGUGAGCUCCCGUUGCUCGGUCCCUGCUCCUGCCAACCUAGCAGUUUGAAAGCACAAAGUGCAAAUAGAUAAAUAGGUAUCGCUCUGGCGGGAAGGUAAACGGCGUUUCCGUGCGCUGCUCUGGUUCGCCAGAAGCGGCUUAGUCAUGCUGGCCACAUGACCCGGAAGCUGUACGCCGGCUCCCUAGGCCAGUAAAGCGAGAUGAGCACUGCAACCCCAGAGUCGGCCACGACUGGACCUAAUGGUCAGGGGUCCCUUUACCUUUACCUAUGCUAUAAUAACAAAUUGCCGAAUCUCCAGCUAAUGCUCUGAUUAAAAAAAGAAAAGAAUGACAACACAGUUACAUAAAAGUAAGGAUAUGUACAAUGCAAGAUAUAAAGCUCAUGGUGCUAUAAAUCUAAAUAUUGCACAUGCUGCUUCUAUUAGGAAGCAGAGGUCUCUUCAUUAUUAAGGUGCUUUUAUAGUUAAAUAAGCAAACAGUUCUUCAAGGAUGGGCGCUCCUCCUUGCAAAAGCUUCUGUCUCCUCUUUAAUCCGCCUCUGUUUCCAGCAGCAAUUAUUUCUCCUACCCAUUGCAAGACAACAUCAGCCUGCAGCAAGGCCACCUUGCUGUUUAUUACAUGUGUAUUAGAUAUUGAAUUUCUGAUGGCCCUGGCUUUGCUCCUGGAUGGCCAGGUGGCAGCCGUAACAAGGAGUGCUUUUGCUGGUGCAUCAGCUGUCUGUUCCUAGAGGAAGCAGAUGUGGCGAUGGUGACAUAAGCCUUUGGAUGAGACCGGAUGAUUGCAAUGUGCUCUAGACUCAGCUAGAGUUUCAGCCUGAGCCCGAUAUUGGAAAAAUAUGACUCCCCUUAUGCAACUGGUUUGCUGUCUUUCAGUCCACAGCCAAAAUGGCAUUUAUAUUUGCGUCAAGCCCAUACAAAGUGACACAUAGAGAAAAAUCAAAACAGAACAUCAGGCAGUAUAGGAUGUACAGUGUGGAUCCAGCCAAAUACAUGCCCUCCAGCAUUUCUCUGAUGAAAAUAGGGAUGUCCUAUUCCACAACAAGUUGCCCAGCCACUCUGGGAAGCUUCCACCAUAUAUAAAAACAAUAAACAUUAAAAAAACUUCUCUCCACAGGGCCGCCUUCAGAAGGCUGGGGGGGGGGGAGUCGCAUAACUCCAUACCCUCUAACAUUUCUCCCAUGAAAAUAGGGACGUCCUAAGGAAAAGUGGGACAUUCCUGGAUCAGAUCAGAAACUGGAAUGGCUUCUGUAAAUCUGGGACUGUCUUUGGAAAUAGAGACAAUUGGAGAGUCUGAAAUAGGCAACAUGAAGGCACCUGAAUUACCGUAUUUUUUGCUCUAUAAGACUCACUUUUUCCCUCCUAAAAAGUAAGGGGAAAUGUGUGUGUGUCUUAUGGAGCGAAUGCAGGCUGCGCAGCUAUCCCAGAAGCCAGAACAGCAGGAGGGAUUGCUGCUUUCACUGCACGGCGAUCCCUCUUGCUGUUCUGGCUUCUGAGAUUCAGAAUAUUUUUUUUCUUGUUUUCCUCCUCCAAAAACUAGUUGCGUCUUGUGGUCUGGUGCGUCUUAUACAGCGAAAAAUACGGUAAUCACCUAAACUCUCCUAAGGAAAACAAAUCACAAAAAUGUAAGCUGUUGAGGCUUGCUUGUAUUCCCCCAGAACUGAAGGGGCCAAGUCCUUACUAUACAAUGGCUGCAAAGCUGUAUGUUGGAUUCAGGGCUGGCCCAGAUUUGCCGGCUGAAAUAUACUCGGAGUCGAGUGUGGAUUUCAUGCUCUUUAUUCAGCUCAUAGUAGUGAGGAAUCGAAGUUCCCCCGAAAUGUCUGCUUUAGAUACAUUAUUUACACAAUGGGCCCCACGUGAUUGGCUAAUUCUGGGAUUCUCCUGUAGGCCAAUCAGGUUGCGGAUUCACUUCCACCUGGAGUUGGAUUGGGUGGCUCCUGCGGACCAAUCAGACUGCUGCAUUCUGAAUCCUAUUGUUCUAGGACCAGACUGCUGCAUUCUGAAUCCUAUUGUUCUAGGACCAAUCAGACUGCUGCAUUUUGGAUCCUAUUCAACUCAAUACAUAACAGCGGCUCUCCCAGCUGCCCAGAGCUUAAGGCCAUUGCCUCACCUCGCCUUACGGGUGGGCCAGCCCUAGCUGGAUUGGUAAAUGGCUCCUUGCAUAAUGGGCAUGCACUUUCUAAUUACAGACCUUCACAGUCAAUUGAAAAAUUGUGUUUAACUAAUUCCCUGCGCAUUGGCCCAGCUGGAUAGGACUGAUGGAAGCGGGAGUCCAACAGCAACAUCUGAAGGGCCACGAGAUUCCCCACCCCGUCCUAAAGAGUUCCUUCCUUCCUUCUGUGCGACAUGCUGUUAGUUUUUGCGGAAGCUUCCCCCACAUCUCCCUCUGCGCAAGGCGUGAGGGUUUUUGAAAAAGGCUUUAGAUUAGAAUUUCAACUUCACACUUUGAAAAUUGGUUAUCUUGCCGGUCUGUGAUAUGCGAAAAGCAUAUCACGUAGAUGAUCGUUAUUUAGACAGAAUGAAAGGCAGGCUCUGUCUCAGAGGCUUAAAGCAUUUUUAUUCAGUGUUUUUAACUGGCACUUCAAAACCUAAAUCUCCUAGAUUUCUCUUUCGCUAUUUAGACAGCUUAUUUGGUAGCUUGCCACUGGGUUUCUCCAGCUGACAUUUAUCUACUUUCUUGGAAUGCACAAGUGAUUCCCCCCCCCGCCCUUUAAAACAUGACUAAAGUCAGAUUGCUAAAUGCUUGGGAAAAUAAAGCAUAAAAAAUACUGAUUCCUUGGUAGAAAGUGUUUCGGCAGUAUAGUCAUUGUGCCCAAACCCUCAAUUAGCAUUUCAGGAUUGGAAUGAAUUAUCUCAAUAUUUUGAAGUCUAUCUUAAUAAGCUUUACAAAGUUUCUAACUUUUUAUCUAAGUGCCUUUAUCAAUAAAAUAUUUUUAUUAUGGCCAAGCUAGAAAAGGACUGGCAAAAUUCAAACGCCAUUAACCUUACCUGCCCUGAACUGAGGCAUAUUGGCCAGGACGCAAAUAGAUAUUUUGGCUUAGUACAUCCAGCGAAUUUUUUUCCAUCACCUCCACUCACAGCUUCAGCUAUUGACAACCGUGCCACUGACAAAUGGCUUUUGAAUUGGUAGUUUCAAGUGACUUGUAGAAGCUCCUCUUUGAGAAAACAAAAGCUGCGUGGGUGUGUGCACAAGUGGCAAAGUUGUCUGGAUGCUUUUGUUGUUGUUUAGUCGUUUAGUCGUGUCCGACUCUUCGUGACCCCAUGGACCAGAGCACGCCAGGCACGCCUGUCUUCCACUGCCUCCCGCAGUUUGGUCAGACUCAUGUUUGUAGCUUCAAGAACACUGUCCAACCAUCUUGUCCUCUGUCGUCCCCUUCUCCUAGUGCCCUCAAUCUUUCCCAACAUCAGGGUCUUUUCCAGGGAGUCUUCUCUUCUCAUGAGGUGGCCAAAGUAUUGGAGCCUCAGUUUCACGAUCUGUCCUUCCAGUGAGCACUCAGGGCUGAUUUCCUUAAGAAUGGAUAGGUUUGAUCUCCUUCCAGUCCAUGGGACUCUCAAGAGUCUCCUCCAGCACCAUAAUUCGAAAGCAUCAAUUCUUUGGCGAUCAGCCUUCUUUAUGGUCCAGCUCUCACUUCCAUACAUCACUACUGGGAAAACCAUGGCUUUAACUAUACGGACCUUUGUUGGCAAGGUGAUGUCUGGAUGCUAGCCAACGUCAAAGGGAAUGGAAGACUCCCUUAUUACUGCUAAUCUUUACACUAGUUAGGUUAGGAGCAGAGCUCUUUCAUAACACUCUGAGUUGUAGGGUAGAUUUGUGCUGCAACUCUGGCCAUUGUGGGCCAAGUUGUCAGAAAUAGUGCUUUUCUAGUUAAAGGUAAUGGACCCCUGGAUGGUUAAGUCCCGUUAAAGGCGACUAUGGGGUUGUGGCGCUCAUCUCGCUUUCAGGCCGAGGGAGCUGGAGUUUGUCUGCAGACAGCUUUCCCGGUCAUGUGGCCAGCAUGACUAAACCACUUCUGGUGCAACGGGACACCGCAAUGGAAGCCAGAGUGCAUGAAAAUGCCAUUUACCUUCCCGUCACAGUGGUACCUAUUUUUCUGCUUGCACUGGUGUGCUUUUGAACUGGUAGGUUGGCAGGAGCUGGGACAGAGCAACUGGAGCUCACCCCAUCUUGGGGAUUUGAACUGCCCACCUUCUGAUCGGCAAGCCCAAGAGGCUCAGUGGUUUAGACCACAGCGCCACCUGCUUCCCACUCGAAAUUUCUUUGAAACUACCUAGCACUAUUUUGAAAACAUUGCACUGAGGUUGGACGAUGAAGCCAUUUGGCAGCAGGGUCGGGAAAUAGACCAGGCACCUGUCUCAAUUUUCCAAUAAUUUAGGCAUAAUACAUAAAAUCAUCUGACCUUUAAAGCCCUAAAUGGCCUCGGUCCAGUAUUCCUGAAGGAGCAUAUCCAUGUCCAUCGUUCUGCCCGGACACUGAGGUCCAGCGCCGAGGGCCUUCUGGCGGUUCCCUCGCUGCGAGAAGUGAGGUUACAGGGAACCAGGCAGAGGGCCUUCUCGGUAGUGGCACCCGCCCUGUGGAACGCCCUCCCACCAGAUGUCAAAGAGAAAAAUAACUACCAGACUUUUAGAAGAUGUCUGAAGGCAGCCCUGUUUAGGGAAGCUUUUAAUGUUUAAUAGGUUAUUGUAUUUUAGUGUUCUGUUGGAAGCCGCCCAGAGUGGCUGGGGAAACCCAGCCAGAUGGGCGGGGUAUAAAUAAUAAAUUAUUAUUAUUUUAUUAUUAUUUAUUAUCCAGCCCAGUGGUGGCAUCAAGUGCAAUGUCUGUUCCAUCUGUACUGGAUCAGUUUUGAAGCAAGCUUGAAUAAGCGUGGCUGACCACGCCCCCCCUUGAUUAUCUUGGCCGCAAGUGAUUGACUGGGUGGGUCCAGGGAAUGGGCAGCUCUACAGAACUACGAAACUAUGAGAGAUGUGGAUUGUGGCUAACGUGUAUACUGGGACUCAAAAGCCAGCAGCAUGAGCACGUUGGCUGCAGAGUAAAUGGCAAUGUGUACACAGCCCAGUUUUUAAAGUGCCGCAAAACAAUAGUAGCAAAUUAUUAAGUCAACGUCAACAGAAAAGCCUGGGAAAUGGCUUCCUAUCAGCCUCUCAUUAAUAAAGUUCAAGAGAAAUGCUGGAAAAUUGAAAGAACUGGGUUAGCUGUCCUGGACUUAAUUUUUUUUCUGUGUGACUUUCAGUAACUCGCAUCGCAGCAUAUGCAGUGAAAUGAAUAAGAGUCUGUUCAGGAAGCUAGUGUUCUAUCAGUCAAUUAGUGCAGGAAACUUUUUUAAAAGUCUAAUCAGCUCUAUUGGAUUAAACUAUGACACCCAAAUUGUUGAAAUUUCCUCUUGAAAUAUCAGCUCUGAUAUUGUAAGGAAACAUCCAUCUGCCUUGAGAGGAGAACAGAUGUGGCCCCUUCAACUGGGAACGAAGCAAAAAAAGAAGCAUAUUGUGGCUUUUUGCUGGGGAGGGAGGGAAUCCGAACUACAGCUGUACUCUUUGCACAUUUUUGAAAAAAGAUUACAGUGUUAGCAAUGUAACUGAAGGCAGGAAGAUUUGGUAUUGAACAAGCCUAGAAUCCUAGAAUUGUAGAGCGGGAAGGGACCCUGCGGAUCUGUUUGUUUGUUAUUAAAGUGAGCAGAUUCUUUAUGAGGUCUUGUACAAAUAGAUAUGUUUCCGAACACAAUUCAAAGUGUUGGCACUGACCUUUAGAACCCUAAAUGGCCUUGUCCCAGGAUACCUGAAGGAGCGUCUCCACCCCCAUCGUUCUGCCCAGACACUGAGGUCCAGCUCCAAGGGCCUUCUGGCGGUUCCCUCACUGUGAAAAGCGAGGUUACACGGAACCUGGCAGAGGGCCUUCUCAGUAGUGGCGUCUGCCCUGUGGAAUGCCCUCCCAUCAGAUGUCAAGGAGGUGAAAAAGCCAGCCAGAUGGGUGGGAUAUAAAUAAUAAUAAUAAAUUAUUAUUUUAUAUUAUUUUAUUAUUAUAUUACCUUUAAAAGACAGGUGAAGGCAGCCCUGUAUAUAAUCUAUGUGUGACUUAUUUUUUGCCUAAUGAUGAGUGGCUCCCAGUACAUUUCUGAGCACAAGUCAAAAGUGUUGGUGCUGACCUUUAAAGCCCUAAACGGCCUCGGCCCAUAUACCUGAAGGAGCGUCUCCACCUGCAUCAUUCAGUCUGGACACUGAGGUCCAGCUCUGAGGGCCUUCUGCGAAAAGUGAGGUUACAGGGAACCAGGCAGAGGGCCUUUUUGGUAGUGGCAUCCGCCUUGUGCAACGCCCUCCCAUCAGAUGUCAAAGAGAUAAACAACUACCUGACAUUUAGAAGACAUCUGAAGGCAGCCCUGUUUAGGGAAGUUUUUAAUGUGUGACAUUUUAAUGUAUUUUUAAUCUUUGUUGGAAGCUGCCCAGAGUGGCUGGGGAAGCCCAGCCAGAUGGGCGGGGUACAAAUAAUAAUAAUAAAAAAUAAUAAAAAAUAAUAAAAAAUAAUAACUCACUGCUCUCUUUAAAGUUCCAUGUAACUUCUCUCACUCCUGCAAACUCUUCGCCAGGAGGCUUUGCUCUCUAUAGCAAUGUUGCCCAAACCUGGGUCUCCAGCUGUUUUCUGACUACAGUUCCUAUCAUCCCUGACCACUGAUCCUGCUAACUAGGGAUGAUGGGAAUUGUAGUCCCAAAACAUAUCUCCUUAGAGAUCGUGUUGCUGUCCACAAGAGCCAAUUGUUAUGUGUUUCUUCUUAUUACCAGGGCUGGCCUGCCCAUGAAGAGGGGUAAACAUCCCAUUUCACCUCAUACUGCAAAAAGGGACACGCAGCCCUUGAUUAUUACAACUGCAUUUUUUGUAACUGCUUUGAUUUUCAUGUUGUAGAGCUAUUACGUGAUGUACAGUGGUACCACUAGUUACGAACUUAAUGUCCGUUCUUAACCUGAAACCUUUCUUAACCUGAGGCACGCUUUCGCUAAUGGAACCUCUUGCUGCCGCUGCGCCGCCGGCACACGAUUUUUGUUCUCAUCCAGGGGCAAAGUUCUCAACUCAAGGUAACUCUUCCAGUUUAGCGGAGUUUGUAACCUGAAGCGUUUGUAACCUGAGGCAUUUGUAACUCGAGGUACCACUGUGUUGACAUUUACCUUCUAUAUUGUGAACCACGCCGCGGUCUUUUGACCAAUACUGAUUCUAAUAGCAGCUGAACAACGAUGGUUGUACUGAAUGGACACUCAAAACACUUGACUUGUUAACCUUUGCAUUUUAGUACAUCCUGUGUUGUAAUUCCCAUGGGUUCAAAUCAGAAACAGGUGCUGAAAGUGUGAGAAGCCAUGAACCAGUCAUAGCAGCUUUGUAAUACCUGCUGGCUAGAAUCACAGCAUGGAUGGUUUCUGGUAGCUGCCAUUCUGAUUGGCUGAAGCUACAAAUAUUACAGGGAAUGACAGGACGAACUGUUUGCUGCCACCUGGUGGGCCUGUUCUUUGCAAAGCUCUCCUCCUUUGGAGGAAUUCCUGGAGCUUGCUUGCUGCCACCUGCCCGAUUGCUGCAUCGCAACACUCUGAGAUGUUGUGCGUCUUGGCAGAGCAAACAAGGGUCACUAACUACCAGAAUGCACCUAUGGAUUAAUCUAGGCGUAGGCAAACUCAGUCAUCCAGAUGUUUCAGGACUGCAACUCCCAUCAUCCCUGACCACUGGUUCUGUUAGCUAGGGAUGAUGGGAGUUGUAGUCCCAAAACAUCUGGAGGGCCGAGUUUGCCUAUGCCUGGAUUAAUCAUUAGUAAGGCCAAAGGACGUAGACUUUCAUUGACACGUCUUGCUGUUGGGAAGAAGUGAGGCAACUUUAAAUUUUGAGAUCUCAUUGUGGUGUUGUCUGUGCUGUUGCUGCCAUUGCUGCUUGUAAUUUGAGUAAAUUCUUGCUUGGCUGCAUCUCAGUUGUAUAUAUGUGAUGGGCAAAGGUCAAUCAGGCCUCCAGAUUGGAGUCUCUGGUUUUCCUAAGUGAGGACUUGAGCCAGAACUGAACAAAAAUCAGGGGAAAUGACCUCUGAGACAUGGAAGCCACCCUGGGUUCUGACCAAGGGUUAGACUUGCUGUCCUCUGCCUCAGGCCUGGCUGGUAGGGAGGGCCACCAUCGUACGUCUUGGCCUCCCACCACCAGCAUUGAUGCACUUACCACAUGGGGGAGAAAUGAGGCAGCAAGGAGGGCAGUGCUCACACCAUACCAGCCUCCUCAUUACUUCACCCCUUCCGCUUUGGCAGUGCUAUUUUUCUAGAAAAAGAACUCAUCACAAAUGCUUCCCUUGUCCUCUUAGAAUGGCAAUGGCGCCCACCUGAGAGGGGCUGGAAGCGUUCCAGCAAGUACCAGCUGGGGAAAAACCACCCCACCCCUCUGUCACCUGCUGUGACCUGCCCAAUUCCUUAAGAAUGGUUCAUGGAGGUAUUCUCUGCAUCCUAGCCUCUCCCCAGGCCUGGUUGGGGAGAUGUCAAAGCUGCAUCUUGUCCAUCUCCCUUCUGAGGUCUCCACUUUGCGCUCUACGGUGGAAGCACAAAAGGUACAAUCGCAAGGCACGCGUGCAGAUACUUAUUGGCACUUCUGGUAAUAUCCGAAACCGAAUCUGAUUUAUGAAUGGAUUUAGGUUCACCAGUACAAAUAUCUAGCUCAUUUUCCGAGGAGACAUCGCAUGGAUUUUGUUAUGUACUGAGUUGAAUAGGAUCCAAAAUGCAGCAGCCUGAUUGGUCCUAGAACAAUAGGAUUCAGAAUGCAGCAGCCUGAUUGGUCCUAGAACAAUAGGAUCCAGAAUGCAGCAGCCUGAUUGGUCCUAGAACAAUAGGACCCAGAAUGCAGCAGUCUGAUUGGUCCACAGGAGCCACCCAAUCCAGCUCCAGGUGGAAGUGAAUCCGCAACCUGAUUGGCCUGCAGGUGAAUCCCAGAAUUAGCCAAUCACGUGGGGCCCAUUGUGUAAAUAAUGUAUAUAAAGCAGACAUUCUGGGGGAACUUCCAUUCCUCCUCACCACUAUGAGCUGAAUAAAGAGCAUGAAAUCCACUCUCGACUCCGAGUAUAUUUCAGAUUUCUAUGUUACUUUUCUUUGCCGUCCCUCCCCCCCCCCCACCGUACAAAGCAAAGGUAGCUUGGGCAGGCUGCCAAUCUUGAGUGGAAAAAGUUGGCUAGGGAAGCAAUCCUCAACCUUUUCCCUUCCUGUCAUUCAUCUGCCAGGAAUUGCCCUCUACAUUCUCCUUUUUUUCCCCUGUGGGAGAAAAGAUACAGGGGAUAUCUUAUACAUGUAUUAUCCUCUUGUAGGAAGGAAAGGUGCAAUUUUAUUUAUUUAUGAGGGGGCAAUGUUAUUUAUUUAUGACUAAUUGAAUGAAUUUGUAAGCCACCCUGUGGUGCAAAACUCUCAAGGCAGACACCUGUAAGCAGAUGACUGACAGGAAGUUAAAAUGUGGAGCAGCCUCCCACUUCUGUAGCCUUUGAAGUGCUUUUCAGUUAAACACCCCCCUCCCCACCCCAAAACCCAUAGAACUGAAAGAGACAUGGAACUGCAAAUCACAUCUUUGAUUAACGGAUAUGAGAAGUUGGGAACUUACUCUUUGGGGGAGGAGAGAGUUACAGAGAAAAAGGUCAAAAUAUCUAAAUGCAAGAUGGUACUGAAAUCUGUCUCAGAUAUUUGGGGUUAAGGCAUUGAGCCACAAGGAAGACAAAGAAAGAUUGAAAAUUAUGGUCGUAGAUAGAAAAGGGAUCUUUUGUGAAAGGUGAUGCAGCAGUAUCUAAAACGUUUAACAUUAAGAAUCUAGAAUCAGAGUAACAGAACCGGCCACGGUUUGUCGAGACAGCUGAACACUUGGGGACUGAGAAAUAGAUAUAUUUUAAUCCUCACCGGCUGUCACUUCCCAAACGUCUGUCUGCCAGUGUCUGCUUUCUCCAACAAGGUUUUAAAAGCGGUUCCCUGCAAUGAGCGCAGGGCUAUUUCUCCUGUCAGUCAGCUGAAAUAUUUUAACAGAGCAAUACCGUACGUGCCUACUUUGAAAGAUGCUCCGCUGAGGGUUGGUCCAAGACAUUUUGCCACCUGAGGUGAAGGAGUGGCAGUGGCAAGCAAGCCCCUUACCUGGCUCUGGGCCGGAAUGACAUUGGGGGUUGGCACGGCUUAGCCUGUGGCUGAGGGUGGCUCCUCCUCUGCCCCAUGGCAGCCUCCAUGGGGAAGCCAUGGGCCUGAGGUGACUAGAGGAGGCCCUUGAAACUGACCUGCCCAGGCAGCUGUUGGCAAGAUCCACAUGGCACUUCAUCUGCAGCUAUAAGAGAAGCAGCAAAGGUGCAAAAGGACGCCCCCUAAAGGACGAAUUGCUUUCAGGUCAGCGGUGUACAAGAUUUAGAUUAUAAUACUGUGAUUAUGAUUUAAUAGGUAGAUAGCGUGCACCAAAAGGGGAGAAGCAAUAACUCCAUGGAAAACUGGGUGGGAAGUUGCAAAAAUUAAGAGGGAAAAAACAAAAUAGUGUUCUGAUUGUAUAUGUUAAAAAUGUUGCAAUUUAAUAAUUAUAAUGGAGGGGGAAAGUGUAUAAUAAUAAUAAUAUGAAAGCCAGUGUGGUAUACUGGUUAAGAGAGGUAGUCUCGUAAUCUGGUGAACCGGGUUCGCUUCCCCGCUCCUCCACAUGCAGCUGCUGGGUGACCUUGGGCCAGUCACACUUCUCUGAAGUCUCUCAGCCUCACUCACCUCACAGAGUGUUUCUUGUGGGGGAGGAAGGGAAUGGAGAAUGUUAGCCGCUUUGAGACUCCUUAAAGGGAGUGAAAGGCGGGAUAUCAAAUCCAAACUCUAAUAAUAAUAAUAAUAAUAAAUAAUAAUAAUAAAUUUAUACCCUGCCCAUCUGGCUGAGUUUCCCCAGCCACUCUGGGCGGCUGCAAAUCGAGUGUUAAAAACAAUACAGCAUUAAAUAUUAAAAACUUCCCUAAACAGGGCUGCCUUCAGAUGUCUUUUAAAAAUGGAAUAGCUGCUUAUUUCCUUGACAUCUGAUGGGAGGGUGUUCCACAGGGCGGGCACCACUACUGAGAAGGCCCUCUGCCUGGUUCCUUGUAACCUCACUUCUCUCAAUGAGGGAACCGCCAGAAGGCCCUCGGCGCUGGAUCUCAGUGUCUGGGCUGAACGAUAGGGGUGGAGACGCUCCUUCAGGUUUAUAGGACCAAGGCCAUUUAGGGCUUUAAAGGUCAGCACCAACACUUUGAACUGUGCUCAGAAACGUACUGGGAGCCAAUGCAGAUCUCUCAGGACCGGUGUUAUGUGGUCCCGGCGGCCACUCCCAGUCACCAGUCUAGCUGCCGCAUUCUGGAUUAAUUGGAGUUUCUGGGUCACCUUCAAAUGUAGCCCCACGUAGAGCGCAUUGCUGUAGUCCAAGUGGGAGAUAAGAUCGCAGGCAAAGCUAUUUCCCCCCAGUCAUAUAUUGGUUUGUGGUCCUACACAAUUAUAUAAUGGCAUAUAUAUCUUGUACAGUUGGCUAGCAUUGUAAACAGAUAUAUGAUUUUUUGUGGGGGGGAACAGCUUAGGCUGAAAUUCUCUGCAACAGUUCAGAUUGUGGCAAUGUCUGCUUUGGUCCUCAGUGAGACAGAAGCUCAGCUGUUGAAAAACAAGUGGCUGUGGCAUUAGGGCAUGCCUUUUUAGGGGUGAGAGUUAAUUUUUGCUAAUCUAUUUAGUGAGGAGGUCUUAAGAACAUGCUUUUUGUGUGUGGGGGAAUUCAAAUCUGCCAUUUUUGUGAUUGGGAAACAUUUAGCUUGGUAAGUCUACAUUUGUUGAAGAAGCACGUAAACUGCUUUAGGAAAACAAAAGAAUUUUAAUUUUAUCUUCUGAAAAUGUCAGUAUUGCAAUAUUUUAUACACACACACACACACACACACACAUAUAAAAUAUACACAUGCAAGUCUUGGCAAUUUUUAAAAAUGAGUUCUAUACAAUUUUACACACUUUUCUUACCAAGCAAAACUAAAUUACAGUAUAUCAAUUUAACCAAAAUACUAUUUGAAUUUCCAAGUCAUGUUGGAACUUGUAAGCACCACUCAUUAUUUGGAAGUCGAAAAUUGCAAAAUUCAGCAUGCCCUAUAAUGGCGUGUACAAGCGAAGCUGCCAAGAUGUGUUUCUCAAUGAAGAUAUGCUGCAAAAGGCUGCAAUUCAAACUGACGUGGCUCAUGUGUAGAAACUACGGAGGAAGCCUGAAGGUGUCCUUAAUGCAAAUUGUUAAUUAUGCUAACUAAAAACGCAAAUUAGAUCCAGUCAUCAGGUUCAUGAUGUUUCCCAGGUAGCCCUCAGUGUUCACCCUGACUGUUUAUCAUCUUGUAUUUAAAAGACGAUGUGCAGCAAACUGAUUGGAUAUUCAAAUUUUUCAACUCUGUUCAUUAAGAUAUUUGAAGUAUCUUGGUAUGUAAACUAAUGCCUAAUCCCCUUCACUGCUAUGCAGAACUUCAUAUAUCAAGAAGCCACCUCUUUAUCUGUGAUGGCUCCUGAACAAUUAUGUGGGUUAAACCACAGAGCCUAGGACUUGCUGAUCAGAAGGUCGGCGGUUCGAAUCCCUGCGACAGGGUGAGCUCCUGUUGCUCGGUCCCUGCUCCUGCCAACCUAGCGGUUCGAAAGCACGUCAAAGUGCAGAUAAAUAGGUACCGCUCCGGGGGGAAGGUAAAGGGCGUUUCUGUGUGCUGUUCUAGUUCGCCAGAAGCGGCUUAGUCAGGCUGGCCAUAUGACCCGGAAGCUGUACGCUGGCUCCCUCGGCCAAUAAAGCGAGAUGAGUGCCACAACCCCAGAGUCAUCCGCGACUGGACUUAACGGUCAGGGGUCCCCUUUACCUUUACCUUUACCACUCAUGCAAUCAAGAGUGUGUUCCAGGUGGCAUACACUCCAACAUUUCUCUGAUGAAAAUAGGGACAUCCUAAGGAAAAGUGGGACAUUCUGGGAUCAAAUCAGAAACCGGGACGGCCUUUGUAAAUCUGGGACUCUCCCUGGCAAAUAGGGGCAGUUGGAAGGUCUGGAACUGUAGAUUAUAACUCAGAGCUACAAUUCCAAGUACCCUUGGCAAGCUCAUGCCCUCCAACAUUUCUCUGAUGAAAAUUGGGAUGUCCCAUUCCAUACCUAUAAUUUUACUAUUUAUACCCCACACACCUUACUGGGUUUCCCCGGCCAUUCUGUGCAUUUUCCAACAUAUAUAAAAACCUAAUAAAACAUUAAACAUGACAAAACUUCCCUAUACAGGAUUGCCUUCAGACAGCUUGGGUGUCAGAUAACUCCAUACUCUCCAACGUUUCUCUAAUGAAAAUAGGGACAUCCUACUAUACCCUCCAACGUUUCUCCAAAAAAAAAAAGGAAAAGCAGGACAUUCCGGGAUCAAAUCAGAAACUGGGAUGGUUUCUCUAUAUCAGGGACAUCCAUGGAAAAUAGGAACACACGGAGGGCCUGCAAACUACUGUUCACAGAAUUCUUUUUGUGUUAGGGAAGUUGCUUUAAUUUUGUGUGCCUAUGCAGCUAAAGAGAUCAUCUACGGAAAGGAUUCUAGUCUUGCCUCUUCCAUUUCCCUUCCUUUUCCCUUGCAGGCACCCCAGAGGAGAGCUUUGUCUUCUGGUAGUCAAUUUCAUAACUCCCCAGGGCAAGGCGCAAGCACCUCCCUAUCUUCUUUCCAAUAUUUGUACCUCCUGAGCUCCCAUUCACUGCCUGUGAAUAGAUGCAUCUGGUAAUGUAUAUUAUUCAUGUUCCUGCAUUACAGGAUGACUUUUAUUUUUUGAAAUAACUAUCCAUUCAAUUCUGCUCCAAAGGUUAAUGCUAUCCCUCCCACCUAUCCCCGCUGAAAAAAGGGGAACAUUCUUUUGGAUUCUUUUUAAUCAUCUGGAAUCAUGUGUGCAAACAGGGAGGGGAAUUACUGCUGGCUUAUGUUAGAGCAGAUAACAAAAGCUGCAAAUCGCUUGUCAAGGUUGAUGAAAGAAACUUACUGUUAUGAUAAGGGGUUAUUCAAUGUGUUCACUAGAAUGUUCUGGUGAGGAAAAAUG